ACACGACUACAUUAGAUACCCGCGUAGUCCCAGCUGUAAACUAUGUGCGUUAGGUGUGUCAGUGACCACGUGUCACUGAGGUGCCGAAGGGAAACCGUGAAACGCACCGCCUGGGGAGUACGUCCGCAAGGAUGAAACUUAAAGGAAUUGGCGGGGGAGCACCGCAACGGGAGGAGCGUGCGGUUUAAUUGGAUUCAACACCGUAAAACUCACCAGGGAAGACUGUUACAUGAAGGCCGAGAUGAAGACUCUGCUAGAUUUUCAG
rnacentral:rRNA from 1 species